GGGAAUAUACCUCCUAAAAAUUUCAAAUAAAUCUACAAUUCCACCAAAAUUGAGCCUCUUUGUUUUUGAAGUUAUCUCAAAAUGCCACGGUAAGAAACUCAGUUACGAUCUCUUUGGUUCGAGCCUCUCUCAUCUUCUAUGGCUUCUCAGAUUCCAUCAAGUAGUAACUAAUGGAUUCAGUUUCAUGUUAUAUGGUUUCAAGCUUCUCCCA
rnacentral:lncRNA from 1 species